GAUCUUAAAAAUGCUGUCUGAUACAACUUUUAAGAUCGGUUACAAAAGAACUGAUCUUAAAAGUUGUAUCAAAUAACACUUUUAAGAUC
rnacentral:miRNA from 1 species